rnacentral:rRNA from 1 species
UACAGAGGGUGCGAGCGUUAAUCGGAAUUACUGGGCGUAAAGCGCACGUAGGCGGCUUGGUAUGUCGGGUGUGAAAUCCCCGGGCUCAACCUGGGAACUGCAUCCGAAACUGCCUUGCUCGAGUAUGGGAGAGGGAAGUGGAAUUUCCGGUGUAGCGGUGAAAUGCGUAGAUAUCGGAAGGAACAUCAGUGGCGAAGGCGACUUCCUGGACCAAUACUGACGCUCAGGUGCGAAAGCGUGGGGAGCGAACAGG